GCCGGUGUAGCUCAAUUGGUAGAGCAACUGACUUGUAAUCAGUAGGUUGGGGGUUCAAGUCCUCUUGCCGUCACCA
rnacentral:tRNA from 1 species